AGCUAAAUAAACAAAAAUGAUUACAGACGACCAGUUAGCUGUUUUUUCAAAUUUUUUGGGAGUAACGCUAUUUCUUCUAGUUGUUCUAUACCAUUACAUUGCCGUUAAUAAUCCAAAGAAGAAGGAAAAUUAAAGUUUGUUUGGAUAGUUGGAAAAGUGCAUAGUAGUCGUUUAAUGAUGUAUUUGUAUAUUAUUUGAUAUAUUUGUAUAUUAAAAA
rnacentral:lncRNA from 1 species